rnacentral:rRNA from 1 species
UACGGAGGGAGCUAGCGUUGUUCGGAAUUACUGGGCGUAAAGCGCACGUAGGUGGAUUUAUAAGUCAGGGGUGAAAGCCCGGGGCUCAACCUCGGAAUUGCCUUUGAUACUGUCUAUCUUGAGUCCGGGAGAGGUGAGUGGAAUUCCUAGUGUAGAGGUGAAAUUCGUAGAUAUUAGGAAGAACACCAGUGGCGAAGGCGGCUCACUGGCCCGGUACUGACGCUCAUGUGCGAAAGCGUGGGGAGCAAACAGG